rfam:Haematobacter massiliensis strain CCTG 47968 contig27_scaffold22, whole genome shotgun sequence.
CAUAUGGGGAUCCGCGAGCUCCCCACGAGGCGUCAGCUGAAACUCGCGUUCCAAUCCCGUUCCAUUGAACCCAAGGAGGGAACGCACAUG